GAUGAACGCUGGCGGCGUGCCUAAUACAUGCAAGUCGAGCGAAUGGAUUAAGAGCUUGCUCUUAUGAAGUUAGCGGCGGACGGGUGAGUAACACGUGGGUAACCUGCCCAUAAGACUGGGAUAACUCCGGGAAACCGGGGCUAAUACCGGAUAACAUUUUGAACCGCAUGGUUCGAAAUUGAAAGGCGGCUUCGGCUGUCACUUAUGGAUGGACCCGCGUCGCAUUAGCUAGUUGGUGAGGUAACGGCUCACCAAGGCAACGAUGCGUAGCCGACCUGAGAGGGUGAUCGGCCACACUGGGACUGAGACACGGCCCAGACUCCUACGGGAGGCAGCAGUAGGGAAUCUUCCGCAAUGGACGAAAGGCUGACGGAGCAACGCCGCGUGAGUGAUGAAGGCUUUCGGGUCGUAAAACUCUGUUGUUAGGGAAGAACAAGUGCUAGUUGAAUAAGCUGGCACCUUGACGGUACCUAACCAGGAAGCCACGGCUAACUACGUGCCAGCCGCCGCCGUAA
rnacentral:rRNA from 1 species